AUUGAACGCUGGCGGCAGGCUUAACACAUGCAAGUCGAGCGGGGAAGGGUAGCUUGCUACCUGACCUAGCGGCGGACGGGUGAGUAAUGCUUAGGAAUCUGCCUAUUAGUGGGGGACAACAUUCCGAAAGGAAUGCUAAUACCGCAUACGCCCUACGGGGGAAAGCAGGGGAUCUUCGGACCUUGCGCUAAUAGAUGAGCCUAAGUCAGAUUAGCUAGUUGGUGGGGUAAAGGCCUACCAAGGCGACGAUCUGUAGCGGGUCUGAGAGGACGAUCCGCCACACUGGGACUGAGACACGGCCCAGACUCCUACGGGAGGCAGCAGUGGGGAAUAUUGGACAAUGGGCGAAAGCCUGAUCCAGCCAUGCCGCGUGUGUGAAGAAGGCCUUUUGGUUGUAAAGCACUUUAAGCGAGGAGGAGGCUACCGAGAUUAAUACUCUUGGAUAGUGGACGUUACUCGCAGAAUAAGCACCGGCUAACUCUGUGCCAGCAGCCGCAGUAAAAC
rnacentral:rRNA from 1 species